rnacentral:tRNA from 1 species
GGGAAGGAGGCUGAGAUGCAACAGUACUUGAUUUAUACUUAAGAGGGCCCAAGUUCAAAUCCUGAUCCUCUUA